rnacentral:rRNA from 1 species
AAGGAAUAUUGGGCAAUGGACGCAAGUCUGACCCAGCCAUGCCGCGUGCAGGAUGAAGGCCCUAUGGGUUGUAAACUGCUUUUGUACGGGAAGAAAUCCCCUGACGUGUCAGGGGUUGACGGUACCGUGCGAAUAAGCACCGGCUAACUCCGUGCCAGCAGCCGCGGUAAUACGGAGGGUGCGAGCGUUAUCCGGAUUCAUUGGGUUUAAAGGGUGUGCAGGCGGAAUGAUAAGUCAGUGGUGAAAUCCUACGGCUCAACUGUAGAACUGCCAUUGAUACUGUCAUUCUUGAGUAUAGUUGAAGUGGGUGGAAUGUAUCAUGUAGCGGUGAAAUGCAUAGAUAUGAUACAGAACUCCGAUAGCGAAGGCAACUCACUAAACUAAAACUGACGCUCAUGCACGAAAGCGUGGGGAGCAAAC